UGAAGUACAGAAAAAGUAUGAAAGUCAAAUAAAACAUUUUAGCCCUUGUCAUUCAUAUCAGUUGGAAGAAAUCAAUUUCAAUUUCAAGGAUAAGACUCUCAAAAAUAACUCCCUGACAGAGGAAACAUCUGAAGUGUCUUCUGAAACUGGUAAUCAUGAAGGUGGUCUACCAGUAUCACCAGCCCAGACCCACACCAAGACUACUGCCAUGUUUCCCUCUGCCAAGCAAAAUGAGGAUUUGGAAUGUCCAAGAAAAAUGAAAUUAAGGAUUCAUAAUCUGGAGGAACCAAACAUUGAACCACA